UUUUUUUAAUUAUUAUUAUUAAUAUUUUUCCUCUCCUUUUUUUUUUUUCCUCCUUUUUUUUUUGUUUUGUUUUUUUUUUUUUGCAUAGGGGAGGAUCGCUUCGGGGGGGGCGGGAGGGGAGGGGGGGGGGGGCAAAUAAAAACAACCCCAUAAUAACAAUCCUCAAAUCAGCGAGAAAGAAAGAAAAAUCAAAACCCAUUGUCAUGUAAGGAGGGGGGGGUUUGCAUACAUACAAUGGGGGUUUCCAUGGCUGAAGCUCCGCGGGGGGGGGGGGGGGGGGGGGCAUGCAGGGGGCGCGGGGGGGGGGCAAUAUGCAUUGCAAUGGAGGUUGCAACACAGGUUGCAGCGUAUCCUGCAGUGUGCAUCCGUGGCACUGUGGGUGGCAAUGGGAGCUGCAGCAGAAAUCCUGGUGUGGAGUUUGCAGCGUGAAUUGCAGCCCGAACUGCGAUGGAGUUUUGUUAUGGGGGGGGGAAGGGGGGGGGCAAUGGGGGACGGAGCUGCGAUUGCAAUGUGAAAGCAGCGUAAACUGCAGCGUGCAUUCCAAUGCAAAUCGCGCCGUGAUUGGCAGUGUUGCAAUGCAGACUGCUGUGUGAAGUGCGUGGGGAGCUGCAGGACGAACUGCAACGCAAAGAGCAGCACUGCAGCGCGAAGGUGUGGUGCGAACUGCAGUGCUGAGCUGCAAUAGGGACUGCAAUGUGGGUCACAGUAGGAGCGGGGCAGCAGAAACGGACUGCAAGACUGAUGGCGAUAUAAAAUGCAUCCUGAGCUGCAGUAUAAACGAUGGGCUGAGUUGCAAAGUGAGCUGCAGUAUAAAUCGCAAUAUGGGCUGCAAAGUGAGUGGCAGAAUGAACUGCACUGUGAGCUCCAAUAUGAGCUGCACUAUAAAUUGCAUCAUGGGCUGCAAUAUGAAUCCCAGCGUGAGCUGCAAUAUAAGCUGUGGUCUGAGCUGCAAUAUAAACUGCAAUGUGAGCUGCAAUGCGAGCUGCAAUGUGAGUAAUGGUAUAAAUUGCAGUAUGAGCUCCAAAUACGAGUUGCAAUAUAAACUGCAAUAUAAGUUGCAAUAGGAGCUGCAAUAUGAAUCCCAAUGUGAGCUCCAAUUCAAACUGCAAUUCGAGUUGCAAUAUGAGCUGCAAUAGACAUUUCAAUAUGAGCUGCAAUGUAAAUUGCAAUGUGAGCUGCAAUAUAAAUCGGAACAUGAGCUCCAAUGUGAGCUGCAAUAGGAGCUGCAAUAGGAGCUGCGAUAGGAGCCGCCAUACAGACAGCGGCAUAAACGGAGCUGCACCCCCCCCCAUAGCCCCCCCCCCAGCUGCAAUGGGGGGGUCCUGGAGGGGAGGGGGGGAGGGGGGCGGUGUUGGGGGUCCGGCCCUGAGCACGGCGGGGGGCAGCGAGGCACUGCGUGGCAUUUUUGGUAUCGCUGUCAUUGGCCGCCGGCCGCCCGCGCUCGGGGCCUUCGUGUCCCCCUUAUUUCUCCCCCCCCCCCGACAUAUUUUGCCCCCCCCCCCCACCCCCCCAUCGUUAUCCCAACAGGGAAAAAAAGAGACGAGAAAAGAAAAAGAACAAAAAAGCCCAAUGGAUGCCUGCAGGGGAAGCGCCCAUCCGCACCGCGUACCGAGCAUGGGCCCCCCCCGCCCCCCCCAGGGGUACAUAGCAGAGAUACACACAGCCAUCGGACGCGGCCGUUACCGGGGGGGGAUAUGGGGGGGGGGGUUGUCUUUUAUUUUACUGUUUUAUGGGGUUUUUUUUCCCCCUCUUUUUGUUCUCUUUUUGUUUUAAUGCCAUUUGGGGGGGGGUUGGAUUUUGCUUCUCUCUUUCCCACCCAAAACGUGGCCCCUCCCGGGGCUGUAGUGCAUGAGAGCGAUGCUGGGGGGGGGGGGGCAGCCCAUUAUGUGUGUGUGUGUCACCCCCCCCCACACACACACACACGAAGUGCCCCCCCCACAAAGAGCUGAUUGAGGGUCCGCCCCCCCCCAAACAAAUCACUGCGCUCCACUCCGCCAAAUCACUGCCAGUGACUGCGGGGGGGGAACGGAGCAGCGCAGCAACGCAGCAAUGCAGCCAAUGGAGCAGUGCAGCAAUGCCCCCCCCCGCACCGGGCAACCCCCAUCCCCCCCCCCCUCCCCCACGCGGACCCCUUUUUGGGAGGUGGGGGUUUUGCAUAUUCCCUUACCGGGUGGGGGGGGGCGCAGAGCAGUGCAAACGGUGCUCCUUCAACCCCUCCCCCCCCCCCAACCCGGAAGCCCCCAAAUUAUGGGGGGGGGGGGGCAGAAGGGGGGGGUGCCAUCGUUUUAUGUCUUCUUACUUUUUUUUUUGCCUUUUUAGAACGUUUUUAAGGUGCUUUUCUUGCCGAGGGCGGGUUCUGGUUGAUGAUGGGGGGGGGGGGGGGGGGGCGCUGUGCCCCCCCCCCAUCCCCGCCCCCAGGAGGCGAAGGCAGCGGUGGAGCGGGGGGGGCCCACGCGUGGGGUGGGAGCAGGGAAAGGGGGGGGGGAGGGGGGUCAGCCCGGCCCGAGGGGCGCCUGCGCUCCUCCCACCCCCAGAACCCCAAAUCGGGGCGGCGGGGGGGGGGGUCCGGCCGGGGGGUGGGGGAGGGGUUGGGGGGGGGGCACUCAGGAAUGAUUAUUCAUUUUGUCAUUUCUUCCCCCCCCCCCGCAGGUUUUCAAACCAUUCCUGAUUUUACACCAUUUAUUCCCCCCCCCCCAAAAAAAAAAGCAAUUCUUUUUUUUUCUCUCAUCCCGAUUCCCUCUCCGGGACCCCCCCCCAAAUUAACCCCCCCCCCCCAUCGGUGUCACAACCCGCGUCGGUCCUCAGCCGCGUGGUUUUAAGGCAAAGUCCGGAUUUGUUUUAUGGGGUCUUUUUUUUGGGGGGGGGGGGGGGGGGGAUUCCCGGUCAGAGGGGACGGACUGCGUCCCACUGCGGGGGGGGGGGGAGGGGGGGCACAAUACAUUCACACGGUUUAAAUCCUGCACCGAGAGCCCCCCCCGCUCAUAGUGUGUAUGUGGGGGGGGGGGGUACACCAUGACCCCCUACACCCAAACGCUGGGUGAUAUUUGGGGGGGAGGGGGGGGGGUUCUCCCGGUUCCUCCCCCCCUACCCUCGCCCUCCCCCCCCCCGCCUUUGGUUGCUUAAAAGCGAAAGAUUAAUAAUAAUAAUAAUUAAAAAAAAAUUACAAAAGAAACAAACAACCCCC
ensembl:lncRNA